CUCAUGUCAGAGAGACUACCAGAGCCCAGAUGGCAGAAACCUGGCCACAUGCACCAGAAAGGGUUGGAGACCAGAUCCACUUUGUCAAGAGAUAACAUGCGAACCAAAAAGGUUUCCUGAUGCUGACCCUGAAGAACCCUUUAAAGACCAAUACAGUAACAAUGAAAGGGUCAGGUAUACCUGUAAGGAAGGUUUUACUGGACAAUUUAUUCUAACCUGUCGGGGAAACAGUUGGAACGGGUCUCCAGGAUGUACAGCGAUAACAUGCGACCCAAAAUGGUUUCCUGAUGCUGACCCUGAAGAAUAUUUUAAAUACCAAUACAGUUACAAUGAAGAGGUCAGGUAUAUCUGUAUGGAGGGUUAUUAUGGAGAAUUUACUCUAAAAUGUGGAGAAAGAGGUUGGAUCGGAUCGCCACGAUGUGCAGCUCUUGCUCACUGCAGUUCCCCACCUAAAGUUGAGAGUGCAUUUAUUCUGACUGAUUCUAAGGAUGAAUACUCGUCUGGCUCUGAGGUCACUU